rnacentral:rRNA from 1 species
GACGAACGCUGGCGGCGCGCUUAACACAUGCAAGUCGAGCGAGAACCGGGGGCUUCGGCCUCGGGGACAGCGGCGAACGGGUGAGUAACACGUGGAUAACCUGCCCUCGGCACCGGGAUAGCCCGGGGAAACCCGGAUUAAUACCGGAUGGCCCUUCCGACUUUCGAGUCGGUCGGCAAAGGUAGCUUCGGCCUCCGGCCGAGGAUGGGUCCGCGGCGGAUUAGCUUGUUGGUGGGGUAAGUGGCCUACCAAGGCUUCGAUCCGAGCUGGUCUGAGAGGACGAUCAGCCACACUGGGACUGAGACACGGCCCAGACUCCUACGGGAGGCAGCAGUGGGGAAUCUUUGCGCAAUGGGCGAAAGCCUGACGCAGCGACGCCGCGUGAGGACGAC